GCCCGAUUGUACAUUGGCGGCUUAAGCUAUGGCUUAGUUGAACCGGGUUCAAUUUUGAGCGUCGGUUUAACUUCAUUCGGGUUGUUCAAUGCCGAGUUCAGUUAAGCCGAGGUUCAUACAAAUUUUGGUAAGGUUGGCAACGUAAGGCAUGCGUAUUCAAAGCAAUUCCCGUCAAUUCUCGACAUAAAUUUUCCCGCCAUUUAUGUAUUAUUAUUUGGUUUUUGUCAAUAUAAUUCUUUUAUUACUGUUAUUAGUUUAAUCGGUAUUUUCUAUCGUUUAGUUUAUCAGUUUAAUCAAUUUCCUACGUUAAAUUUGUGAACAGACCAUUUGAAUAGCUUGUGAUGAAGGAUUGCGUAAGGGUGUUAUCAGGUUUUCUUGACUCCGUAACCACUAUCACCAAAGAAGAUACUAAUUCAAUCUUCACAUUCUCUUCUCAUAAAUAUUUAACUGUUUACAGCUAUGAUUUCAAAUUCACUCAAAAAUGUUAAUAUUUGCCUUAUUCUAGGGAAGUAGGUAGGUAAUUUAAAUAAUUUUAGAAGGUAAAUUAGUUUGUAAUUAUUAUUAAAUAAAGUGAUAAUAUGUACCUACAUAAGCAUGGUACAAAUAUAAUUAAUUUAAGAUUUAUUAAUAAAUUAUGUACAUCUAAUUUAAUAAAUUAACAAAAUCGUUUUCUACAUUUGCUUCAAAAUCAUUCACAAGUUGCAAAAAGGAGCCUGUUGCUUAAAACCAGUGAUAUGGGCCCACUUCACUGCACAAAACCUUAAUUUAAGGCAAUAAAAACAAUGUUCUUAGAAGAUACAGCUUGGUUCUUGAAAUGUCAAUAACAAAUUUGCCACUUGUUUUCGUUCUCGUUCUUACCUAUCUGUUCGAUUUUUUAUUCUAUGAGCAAUACUAGUUUCAUACAAAUAGUGAACAGUGAACAGAUAUCCAAAAUCUUU